rnacentral:tRNA from 1 species
GCGCUCGUAGCUCAGUUGGUAGAGCAGCUCCCUUUUAAGGAGACGGUCAUAGGUUCGAAUCCUAUCGAGCGCA